GAUCAUGGCUCAGGAUGAACGCUAGCGACAGGCUUAACACAUGCAAGUCGAGCGAAGCACUUUGCUUAGAUUCUUCGGAUGAAGAGGAUUGUGACUGAGCGGCGGACGGGUGAGUAACGCGUGGGUAACCUGCCUCAUACAGGGGGGAUAACAGUUAGAAAUGACUGCUAAUACCGCAUAAGACCACAGCACCGCAUGGUGCGGGGGUAAAAACUCCGGU
rnacentral:rRNA from 1 species